GAUGAACGCUGGCGGCGUGCCUAACACAUGCAAGUCGAACGGAGCUGCUUUGAUGAAGUUUUCGGAUGGAUUUAAAGCAGCUUAGUGGCGGACGGGUGAGUAACGCGUGGGUAACCUGCCUCACACUGGGGGAUAACAGUUAGAAAUAGCUGCUAAUACCGCAUAAGCGCACGGUUCCGCAUGGAACAGUGUGAAAAACUCCGGUGGUGUGAGAUGGACCCGCGUCUGAUUAGCCAGUUGGCGGGGUAACGGCCCACCAAAGCGACGAUCAGUAGCCGGCCUGAGAGGGUGAACGGCCACGAUUGGGACUGAGACA
rnacentral:rRNA from 1 species